rnacentral:rRNA from 1 species
CCUACGGGGGGCAGCAGUGGGGAAUAUUGCACAAUGGGGGAAACCCUGAUGCAGCGACGUCGCGUGAGUGAAGAAGUAUCUCGGUACGUAAAGCUCUAUCAGCAGGGAAGAAAAUGACGGUACCUGACUAAGAAGCCCCGGCUAAAUACGUGCCCGCAGCCGCGGGAAUACGUAGGGGGCAAGCGUUAUCCGGAUUUACUGGGUGUGAAGGGGGCGUAGACGGGAGGACAAGUCUGGAGUGAAAUCCCGGGGCUUAACCCCGGAACGGCAGUGGAAACCGUGCGGCUGGAGUGCAGGAGGGGUAAGCGGAAUUCGUAGUGUAGCGGUGAAAUGCGUAGAUAUUAGGAGGAACACCGGUGGCGAAGGCAGCUUACC